rfam:Wallemia ichthyophaga EXF-994 unplaced genomic scaffold scaffold3, whole genome shotgun sequence.
GCUUUCGUGGCUUAGGGGUUAUAGCGCCGUGUUAACACCGGCUCAUCUGAGAAGAUGAACAGUUGCUCCGCGGAGGUCGCCGGUUCGAUUCCGGCCGAAAGCU